UCUCAGACACAAAGACACCUGGCUCUGGUUUGUUUGCAUCCUCUCUCUCCGUCUUGCCGCCAGACCGGAGAAUAAACACACCCACGCACAAACAGCAGCCCGAUCCUCUGCUUCUGAAUUUUCAUCCGUCUUUUCUUUUUUUUUUUUUUCCACGAUCGCCACACCCUGCUGGGCUUGUUUCGGGUUUUCGGGAUGUGUUAGUGAGCUUCAUGCCACAGGUAAUCUCCCACAUUUGACAGGAAGCGCUUCUUGAAGAUGAAGAAAAUCUGGUCCAAGAAAAGAUUUCAGAGAACUGGGCAUUCCACACGGACAUUUGGCAGAUUCACCCAUGGCAGACCCUCUGGAUUUAUCUAAUCACGCUCUGACUUCAUGGUCGUGAGGCGCGAUGGCGACAUGCAGCCUGUUUUUUUGCGGUUGUCGUCCUCCUCCUUCACGAGCCCUCUAACCCCGUAAAACACGUCCGCGCCGGCCGCCCGGCGGCUCGGCCGCUGCUGAUAUUUAGACUCUAAUGGGUACGAAGAGGAUCGGUCGUGUGGGUGAGAGAGAUGGUGGUUUCCAUAGUAACGGUGCUCUCCCGUCUGCCCUCUCUUGCUGCCACUACGGAAGCGAAGUUUUCCGCUCCUGCCGAAAGCAAA